rnacentral:rRNA from 1 species
GCGAGUGAAGCGGCAACAGCUCAAAUUUGAAAGCUGGCUCCGGCCCGCAUUGUAAUUUGCAGAGGAUGCUUUUGGCGAGGUGCCUUCCGAGUUCCCUGGAACGGGACGCCAUAGAGGGUGAGAGCCCCGUAUGGAUGGACACCAGACCUGUGUAAAGCUCCUUCAACGAGUCGAGUAGUUUGGGAAUGCUGCUCUAAAUGGGAGGUAAAUCUCUUCUAAAGCUAAAUACCGGCCAGAGACCGAUAGCGCACAAGUAGAGUGAUCGAAAGAUGAAAAGCACCUUGAAAAGGGGGUUAAACAGUACGUGAAAUUGUUGAAAGGGAAGCAUUUAUGACCAGACUUGCGCCGGGCAGCUCAUCAGGGGUUCUCCCCUGUGCACUCUGCCCGGCUCAGGCCAGCAUCGGUUCUCGUGGGAGGAUAAGAACAGUGGGAACGUGGCCCCCCUCCGGGGGGGUGUUAUAGCCCAUUGUACGAUACUCUCGUGGGGACCGAGGUUCGCGCUCCGCAAGGAUGCUGGC